rnacentral:rRNA from 1 species
AUGCUUGUCUCAAAGAUUAAGCCAUGCAUGUUUAAGUAUAAAUGACUUGUACAGUGAAACUGCGGAUGGCUCAUUAAAUCAAUUAUCAUUUACUUGAUAAUACCUUACUAUUUGGAUAACCGUAGUAAUUCUAGAGCUAAUACAUGCUAAAAGGUGCGACUUUUUGGAAGCACUGCAUUUAUUAGAUACAAAACCAAUGCCCUUCACGGGGCUUAGUGAUGAUUCAUAAUAACUUUGCGGAUCGUAUGCCCUAGCGGCGACGACGCAUCAUUCAAAUUUUUGCCCUAUCAACUUUCGUCGGUAAGGUAGUGGCUUACCGAGGUUUCAACGGGUAACGGGA